GCUCCUCUGUCCCCCUCUCUCUGCCCCUCCCCUGCUCACGCUCUCUCUCAAAAAGAAACAAACAUGAAAAAAGAAAAGGGUGCUGCUCUCAGACGGUCCACAUCAGUGGCUCUUCAACCGUUCUGCUGAUCCCUCCCUUCUCACUGCAGUGUUCUGUCCACGUACACGUAGCGUGACUCCUUACACGGCUGGCACCACAGCGGCCACAUUACUACUUGCUUUCUGUCGGCCCCCUCCCUCCUGCCCACUUCUGGCUAAGCAGACUGAAUGCUGUUUUGCUGCACUCCGUUUUAAUGCAUACGCUGGCUUUUCAGCAUCAUUUCGUAAGCGGCCGCUCUGCAGAGUUCGUGGCACACUGGUUUCUCAGUCUGGGGGUGUCAGCGCAGCACAACAGCAAGAACGUUGCAAACGUCCGCGUGUGGUUGCCCCCGAGCCCCUUCACGCUACAGGCGGCACACGCAUCACCUCUCCAGACAGCGUAAACCCCCGUCUGUGCUGUGGUUUUUGCUUUCGGCCGUCCUGCGUAUUUCAAGGGAAGGAAAAGGAGAAUCCCUCUUUUAUUUUUACCCCCCAUUCAAUCAUUUCUAGUCUUUUCCCUUCCUUCCCGAAGACCUGAGUAUUCACACGGUGCCACUUCCGUUCCGUCUGAAGGACCGUCCUUGGGCGAUUCAGCGCUUUACAGAAAUCUGUUGGUGACAAAUGUUCUGCUAUUGUAGCUAAAACCUCUUUAUUUCACUUCUAUUCUCAAAGGGUAUUCUGGCCGGAUCAAGAAUUCUGGGUUAACUGCCCCGCCCCCCGAACUCUGAAGAGAUCGCAGUUUCUGCAGAGAAGGCCGGGACAUCUCGUGUGACCGUAUAUACGGAAUGGGUCCUCUCUUCCUCCGGGCGCUUUCAAGAUGUUCUCUUUUUUGUUGGUUUUUAGCGCCUUGACUACCAUGAGCCUGGGCGAGGUUUCCUUUUUACUUCUGCCUGCAGCUCACGGAGCUCCGAGAAUCCGGACAUUGAAACCUUUCACCAAAUCUGGGAAGUCUUCAGUCAUCUCUCCACACCGUGUGCCCCAUCCUGGCUCCUCUCUUCUGGGACUCCAAUCAGUCACGUGUCGGUCAGACCCGCUGCUUCCCGAGGCUCUGCUGGUUUCUGUUCCUGAUCUCGUCCUCUCUGUUCUUCAUCGCCAGUCAUUUGUCAACCGGCUCAUCCUGUGCUGCGUCUUCCUUCUGGCGUCCCCAGUCGCCUCUUAGUUUUCCCAGAUACUGCAUUUUUCAGUUCUAGAAUUUCCAUCUGGUUCUUCUUUAACAGUUCCUGCUUCUCUCUGGAGCUUUCCCACUCCCACAGGAGCGUGUCUUCCUGUGUCCUCGAGCGCACUUCCUGCGCCCGGCUGAGGCUUCCAACACCGGGGCCCAAUCUUGGGGUCGGUCUCCACUGCGGCCUCGUGACCGAGGGUCACAGUUUCAUCCCCCGAGAAUACUGAGCUGUAGACGCUGUGAAUGACCAGGUGUAGAGAGACUCUACGCUCUGCUACAUUCUUCUUUCUGGGUAUCGACACCUUUAUUUCAACAGACAGCUAACUGGCCGGACUCAGACGCAAAACUCUCCCCUGAAGCAGGAGCCGGCAGAAAUCUCCGUUCCGUUCCUUCAGCCUCGGCCGAGCUGCUUGAAGUCCAGCCCACGGCUGCACGUUUCAGGCAUCGGCAGACACGUGAGAAGAGAGGACACAGGAUUUGGGGUUCCCCUGGCUCCAACUCCGGCCUCAACGCUGUCCCUGGGUCUUGCAGGAGAAGGGCAGGUAUCGAGCGUUCUUAGCUGCCCCGUGUGGCACCGAACAAGGCCCAUCCGCAGGCUGAAGGCCGUAAAACGAUGGGAAAUCACCCAACGCCGUUCCCUUCCAGUUUCUGGCAUUCUCCAGUGGCUUCAGCGAGCCGCUUUUACGUUCUCCCAGAAUUUGUUAACGGCGGCAAAGCUAUUCCAAUAGGAGCCACCGUGCCGUAUCUUCUGCUCGGUUUCUCAAAAUAAAUAAUUAUAUUUAACUUCAAAUAAUAUUUCAUAUACUAAACGGAUUUAACGAUAUUUACUUCAAAUAUUGUUUCAGCUGACUCUUUCACAGCUCCUUGAGGCCAACAGCACUGCCUUUACCAGACAGAACUCAGCCCCACGUCUCCCGGCCUGCUUCAACGCGCGGCGAGCUCGGCCAAGACGGGGAUCAGGAGUGCUCUGUGUCCUGCUGGCUAACGGCAGGAAGGCGGGCGACCCACGGCUCACGUGGCAAGAGUUGAACAACAAUGGUGAGACCAGGAAGGCUCCCCGUUCACAGGAAAUGCUCGGUGUGUCAGCAUCGGCGGAGGGCCGUGUGAGGUCACGGGCAACGGCGACCACGCUGGUCACGCGCGGCGGCUCCCAUUCAACGCGACGUCUUUUUUGAUAAACUGGUACUUGUGGGGGGAGGGCGGUCAGGGGAAUGGGAAAGUUGCCUAUAAAUGUUUAACAAAAGAUCUGAACCGGGAAUGGGAAGGUACGUUCUUUCUUUCAAUAGACAAAGCCUCCCACAUCAA